UGGGGAAUAUUGGGCAAUGGGCGAAAGCCUGACCCAGCAACGCCGCGUGAGUGAUGAAGGCCUUCGGGUUGUAAAACUCUUUGGACAGGGACGAAGAAAGUGACGGUACCUGUAGAACAAGCCACGGCUAACUACGUGCCAGCAGCCGCGGUAAUACGUAGGGGGCUAGCGUUGUCCGGAAUCACUGGGCGUAAAGGGUUCGCAGGCGGAAUAACAAGUCAGAUGUGAAAGGCAUGGGCUCAACCCAUGUAAGCAUUUGAAACUGUAAUUCUUGAGAAGUGGAGAGGUAAGUGGAAUUCCUAGUGUAGCGGUGAAAUGCGUAGAUAUUAGGAGGAAUACCUGUGGCGAAGGCGACUUACUGGACACAAAUCUGACGCUGAGGAACGAAAGCGUGGGUAGCAAACAGG
rnacentral:rRNA from 1 species